rnacentral:rRNA from 1 species
GACGAACCGUCCAACGUUGUUCGGAAUCACUGGGCUUAAAGGGCGCGUAGGCGGGCUCCCCAGUCGGCGGUGAAAUCUUUCGGCCCAACCGGAAAAGUGCCGCCGAUACUGGGAGCCUCGAGGGAGGUAGGGGUCGAGGGAACUUCCGGUGGAGCGGUGAAAUGCGUAGAUAUCGGAAGGAACGCCGGUGGCGAAAGCGCUCGACUGGACCUCUGCUGACGCUGAGGCGCGAAAGCCAGGGGGAGCCAAAGCGGG